rnacentral:misc_RNA from 1 species
UGGUUGUUCUCAAGUGAAAGACCCUACAAGAAACAGUUAACCCCAUUAGACACCGGCAUUUCAGCACUAUUUAGAGACAGGCUCAUCGCAGAUAUUUCUCACAUACACAAGCAGAGAGAGGGUGAGACUUAAAAUUGAGAGAAACAGAGAGCACAAAACUCACUUCUAGAAACCAAAAGGAAAAAGAAAAAAAAAGAAACACCCUUCUUCUUUUCACAAGCACAUGAUUCAACAUCAGUGUGAACACAAAUACCCAGGUAUAAAGGAGGAAAUCAAUCUGAAAUUAGAUUACUGCCCAAAAAACUCAUAUGGGCUUUACUUUUAGAUAAUACGUUUGGUUUCUUUCAAUGGGUUGAACUAUCAGAAAGAGUGCAAUAGCAAAUGGCCUCUAAAACUUCAGCUAAGAACAACUUAGAACUUCCAAUUUCGAAGUCUGAACUUAAAUCCCAAAGGGCUGCGGAAGACAGGUUGUAUAAGAUGGGGAAGACUACCCCAUCAAGUAGCCUAAGGCCAGGUGAGCAUCCUGAUGAGACGGAGCGAAAAAGGAACAAAAGGAGAGGAGAAUGUUUAAAAUUAAAAAAAAAAGUACAAAAAAAAAAAGAUCAAGUACCCUUCUUUUUGUCCA